rnacentral:rRNA from 1 species
UACGUAGGGGGCAAGCGUUGUCCGGAUUCAUUGGGCGUAAAGAGCGUGUAGGCGGCCAGGUAGGUCAGCUGUGAAAACUCGAGGCUCAACCUCGAGAUGUCGGCUGAAACCAUCUGGCUAGAGUCCGGAAGAGGAGAAUGGAAUUCCCGGUGUAGCGGUGAAAUGCGCAGAUAUCGGGAAGAACACCCGUGGCGAAGGCGGUUCUCUGGGACGGUACUGACGCUGAGACGCGAAAGCGUGGGGAGCGAACAGG